AGCCCCAAGUGACCUUGACACAAGCAUAAAUAUGCAUGCCACCUCAUGUGCAAGGCUCCUUGGAGACCCAGCUUGGUUCUUCUCCAAUGUCUUCCCUUGGAGUUGUACCUGAUUCUGUUACCAGUUUUGAUUCCAAUUCAUUGGGGAAAGCGACGACUUUGCUUUUAUUUCUUGGACAGGAAUCACUUGAUCCUGAACGUCUUGUGAGAAGACAUGGUGAGGAGCAAAUUCAACCACACAUAGGAUGGCAAGGAAGAGAGGAGGAAGCAGAUGAGAAAAGUGAAACCAAGAGAAGAUAAAAGCCAGAAAUUUGGUGAUCAUCUUGGACAAGAGCUAGAUUAGGAACUUCCCUGGUGAUCUGGUAGUUAAGAAUCCACUUUGUGAUGCAGGGGAUGUGGGUUCCAUCCUUUGUCAGGGAACUAACAUCCCACGUGUUGUGGAGCAACUAAGUCCAAGCGCCACAACUAAAGAAUCCAUGCACCACAACGAAAGAUCCCAAGUCCCACACCGAAGACCAGACACAGCCUGAUAAAUAAUAAAUAAAUAAAUAAAUAAAAUCAAACACCAGA
rnacentral:lncRNA from 1 species